rnacentral:rRNA from 1 species
GAUGAACGCUAGCUACAGGCUUAACACAUGCAAGUCGAGGGGAAACGACAUUGAAGCUUGCUUCGGUGGUCGUCGACCGGCGCACGGGUGAGUAACGCGUAUCCAACCUGCCUCUGACCAAGGGAUAACCCGUCGAAAGUCGGACUAAUACCUUAUGCGGUCGUCGGAAGUCAUCUGAUGACGACGAAAGAUUUCAUCGGUGAGAGAUGGGGAUGCGUCUGAUUAGCUUGUUGGCGGGGUAACGGCCCACCAAGGCGACGAUCAGUAGGGGUUCUGAGAGGAAGGUCCCCCACAUUGGAACUGAGACACGGUCCAAACUCCUACGGGAGGCAGCAGUGAGGAAUAUUGGUCAAUGGGCGUAAGCCUGAACCAGCCAAGUAGCGUGCAGGAUGACGGCCCUAUGGGUUGUAAACUGCUUUUAUGUGGGGAUAAAGUGAGGGACGUGUCCUUCAUUGCAGGUACC